UACGUAGGUGGCAAGCGUUGUCCGGAAUUAUUGGGCGUAAAGGGUGCGUAGGCGGCCCAUUAAGUCUGAUGUGAAAGCCCACGGCUCAACCGUGGAGGGUCAUUGGAAACUGGGAGACUUGAGUGCAGAAGAGGAGAGUGGAAUUCCACGUGUAGCGGUGAAAUGCGUAGAGAUGUGGAGGAACACCAGUGGCGAAGGCGACUCUUUGGCCUAUAACUGACGCUGAGGCGCGAAAGCGUGGGGAGCAAACAGG
rnacentral:misc_RNA from 1 species